AAUUCUGGGCAAACUAGUUGCUGGCCAGCACCACCAGGAGCUCAGGGAGAGAAGAGAGGACAGCCAGGUGCCCUCCCCACCACCCGCCUGGCCCCAUGCCACCUCUGCCCACACCAGGCGGGGCCAUGGAGAGGAAGGCAAAUAGCAACUAGUGCCCAGUGUGCGGCCUGGCCCCACCUCCUGCCAGUGCCUGGGCAACACCUUCUGCUAGGGGGUGGUGUCUGGGACAGUGCCUGGUGCUGUCAGCUGGAGCUGGCAGGCCCACAUUGGAAGCAUCUUCUAAGUAGGAAGGGGAGACAAGGGCUUGAAGCUGGGGGAGAUGGGGAAAGCCUCCCGCCCCAUCCACGCCAUUCCUGCCUUCCCCUCGUCCUGGGUAUUUUGGAGCCUGCCAGCUGAGGAGUGCUCUCCCAGGGUUGGGACUGCAGGCGCCUGACAAACUGAAGAGCACUGAAGCUGGAGAUGCAAAGAAGAGGGAGCAUUGACUAUGUUCUUGGAGCAACGAGCAAGUCAGUGAGGCACGCGUGUGACAGGUGCCUUUCCUGAACCCAGCAAUCCUCCUCCCCUUUCCCUGGCUCUCCUGGGAACUCCUAAUGAAGUCAGAAUAAGCCACUCCAUCAAUUUAUGAUCCCCAGAUGACUGUGUCCCUUUGCUCCUUAAUCACUCAGGUACCCAGAUUCUCUAUUAGCAAGAAGCCCAGAACCCC